UACGUAGGGGGCUAGCGUUGUCCGGAAUCAUUGGGCGUAAAGCGCGUGUAGGCGGUCCGGUAAGUCCGCUGUGAAAGUCGAGGGCUCAACCCUCGAAUGCCGGUGGAUACUGUCGGGCUAGAGUGCGGAAGAGGCGAGUGGAAUUCCAGGUGUAGCGGUGAAAUGCGUAGAUAUCUGGAGGAACACCGGUGGCGAAGGCGGCUUUCUGGACAAAUACCGACGCUGAGGCACGAAAGCUAGGGGAGCAAACAGG
rnacentral:rRNA from 1 species